rnacentral:rRNA from 1 species
AGUGAGCGCUGGCGGUAGGCCUAACACAUGCAAGUCGAACGGCAGCACAGUAAGAGCUUGCUCUUACGGGUGGCGAGUGGCGGACGGGUGAGGAAUACAUCGGAAUCUACUUUUUCGUGGGGGAUAACGUAGGGAAACUUACGCUAAUACCGCAUACGACCUACGGGUGAAAGCAGGGGAUCUUCGGACCUUGCGCGAUUGAAUGAGCCGAUGUCGGAUUAGCUAGUUGGCGGGGUAAAGGCCCACCAAGGCGACGAUCCGUAGGUGGUCUGAGAGGAUGAUCAGCCACACUGGAACUGAGACACGGUCCAGACUCCUACGGGAGGCAGCAGUGGGGAAUAUUGGACAAUGGGCGCAAGCCUGAUCCAGCCAUACCGCGUGGGUGAAGAAGGCCUUCGGGUUGUAAAGCCCUUUUGUUGGGAAAGAAAAGCAGCAGGUUAAUACCCCGCUGUUCUGACGGUACCCAAAGAAUAAGCACCGGCUAACUUCGUG